CGGAACUCAUUUAAGGGUUGGCAGUGGAGGUGAGGGGAUCUUCUGGGAGAUCCCUGCUUACUUGAGGUCUUCUGAAGCCUUUUUAGGAUGGUGAAGGGACAAUUCAGAAGAAAUACAAAAGAAAAGGCCAAUUUUUCCCCAUCUGCCCCAGUCGUUUUGCUUCGAAGCUCUGAAACUGGGAUUGCUUUCCCAAUUGUUUGUUUCAGUGAAUGCCUCCAGGCUUCCCCUGCAGCAUCGUGUGGCACUGUGUCAUCUUUACAGAGAGGCUGGCCAGCAUCCCUGCACGGGGAUGUUUUGCCUGGAAAAUCCAUGGAAAACACUGGGAAUCAGAGGCCUGGAAAUCAGCCUAGGCUCACAUAGAAGACUGAGCAGGAGCUGCAGGCACCCACAUGGAGGGCAGAAAGCCUAUGCUCUAAGUGUGGGGAAAACGCACAAAAAUAUAAGGAACGUGCCAAUUGCUGUGAGAAAUGGACAAGAGUGAUGCUAAUAGAAAAAGGUGAAGUACUGCAAGAGAGGAAGCGCUGAUUACAGGCACAGCAGUGCAUAUAUUAACCUUAGGCUGUGUUGAAAAAUAUUCCAGCAACAAGUGCAAAUUCCUGCAUGGGCCAUUAGAAAGCUGCACCUUGCUCUUAUUGCUCUGGCUACAGAUGGACACGGUGAAAAUGUGAGCGCCUGGAGGUUGUCCCCUGUCUGAUGGGACAGACUGUCAUCACUUCUAUCCACUGCUGUCACAGAAUGGUGGGUCAGUAUUCCCCACAAGGCUGCCCCCAAGCAGAACACGCCAUCAGCAGUACCACAGUAUGAUGAAUUAACCAUGGGCUACGGUUAAUAAUGCAUUUGUCACAUUACCUUAUCACUGCUGUAGCUUGUAUCACAAUAAAUUAGUCAAAUCCUGACCUGCUUGCACGCAGCAGGAGUGAGGCAGUUCUCCUGCGUGAACACCUAGGGAUUUGCUCUCCGUUCCUUUAUGCCCAGGAAGGUGGGAAAAGGUCUCUCAGACCCCCACCCCCAGCUCACCCCUAUUACGCCCACUGCCCACAUCCCUCAGUGCCACAUCUCCAUGGAUCUGGAACACCUCCAUGGAUGGUGACCACCUCCCUGGGCAGCUCUGCCAGAGCCCGAUGAGUCUUUCAGACUUACAUCCAACCUGAACUUCCCGUGGUGCAACUUGAGGCCAUUAUCUCUCAUCCUAUCGUUGGUUACAAAAAAUCAGCGAUGGUUUGGCGCACCCAGAAGGAGGCAUUUAAUGGAUGAGUGGAGCGAUGGAGCUCUUUGCUGGAGAAGCCCAGCACUGUACCUGCACCAACACAAAGCCCACUGGCAGGAUCCAUCGCGCACCACUCCUCAGAUGAGC
rnacentral:lncRNA from 1 species